AAACCAACAGGGAUUGCCUUAGUAACGGCGAGCGAAGCGGCAAAAGCUCAAAUUUGAAAUCUGGCGUCUUUCUUAGGCGUCCGAGUUGUAAUUUGAAGAUGGCAACUUUGGGAUUGGCUCUCGCAUAUGUUCCUUGGAACAGGACGUCAUAGAGGGUGAGAACCCCGUAUAUGGUGAGAUGACCCAAUCCUAUGUAAAGUGCUUUCUAAGAGUCGAGUUGUUUGGGAAUGCAGCUCUAAGUGGGUGGUAAAUUCCAUCUAAGGCUAAAUAUUGGCGAGAGACCGAUAGCGAACAAGUACAGUGAUGGAAAGAUGAAAAGAACUUUGAAAAGAGAGUGAAAAAGUACGUGAAAUUGUUGAAAGGGAAGGGCUUAAAAUCAGACUUGGUAUUCAGUGAUCAACUGUCUUUAGGGACUGUGCACUCGCUGUUUACUGGGCCAACAUCGGUUUAGGGGGUGAGAUAAAAGCUAGGGAAUGUGGCACUGCUUCGGUAGUGUGUUAUAGCCCUGGUUAAUAUCACCACUCUGGACCGAGGACUGCGCAUUUAUGCUAGGAUGUUGGCGUAAUGAUUUUAAGCCAC
rnacentral:rRNA from 1 species